rnacentral:misc_RNA from 2 species
AGCAGCCGCGGUAAUUCCAGCUCCAAUAGCGUAUAUUAAAGUUGUUGCAGUUAAAAAGCUCGUAGUUGAAUUUCGGGAUCAAUAUAUCGGUCGUGCCUUGGUACGUACUGGUAUCAUUGGUUUCUCCUUUCUGACGAACCAUGAUGUCAUUAAUUUGGUGUUAUGGGAAGUUAGGACUGUUACUUUGAAAAAUUAGAGUGUUUAAAGCAAGCUAACGCUUGAAUACAUUAGCAUGGAAUAAUGAAAUAGGACGUUUGAUCCUAUUUUUGUUGGUUUCUAGGAUCGACGUAAUGAUUAAUAGGGAUAGUUGGGGGCAUUAGUAUUCAAUUGUCAGAGGUGAAAUUCUUGGAUUUAUUGAAGACUAACUACUGCGAAAGCAUUUUGCCAAGGAUGUUUUCAUUAAUCAAGAACGAAAGUUAGGGGAUCGAAGACGAUCAGAUACCGUCGUAGUCUUAACCAUAAACUAUGCCGACUAGGGGUCGGAUGAUGUUAAUUUUUUAAUGACUCAUUCGGCGCCUUA